rnacentral:lncRNA from 1 species
AUGCUUGGGACUCGCACUUUCCCAGGGCUGCCGCAGAGGCUGGCCUUGUCUUGCUCCAGGGCUAGAACAGACCACCGACAGCUCCCUUGUGAGCAGAUGUUCCGGAAACCCAACCUACCCACACGGAGGAAAGUUCCCUGCUUUCCAGCCGCCAGGACGUCAGCCAACUGGGCAUCCGAGCCUGCCUUUGACUCUGAUGACAUUGAUGUGGCUACCAUGACCCCCUCCCACGCUCCUCCUGACAGCCCCCCGCACCCGACCGCGUUGCCAGUGCCGAGCCUCUGGGAAAUCUGGCAGUGUCAGCACCAGCUCCAGUCCUAACCUCUGCGGAAGCACAGGCACCCAGUGCGAGCACAGCCCGCUCAGCUUCUGCACAUGGGACACUCCUGUGUUCCACCUUGGCAUCUCUGUUGGCCAUCCUCCAUCGCAGUGCGGCCAUCAUCAGGAUGCCCAAAACUAGGCGCAGCUCACCUUUUGCAAACAUGACUCCAGAGCUGUUUCCUUUCAAGGCAUCUGCAGCUCCUUUGAAUAAUGACCGUCGUGGGGACAGCACGUCCGCCCCAGACCUCAGCUCCAUAUCUGAAGCACUGGGCUUUAGCACGGGGCCGAGGGGGACAGCCAGGACCUCAGCUCACAGUGGUGGAGGCUGAGACCUGAACACCAGAGUCCUGCCAGCCUGUAGCACACACGGCAAGCCUCCGCCGGGAGACGCAUUCCUUCUCACCCAAUCUCAGACCACCGAGAAUGCCCAGGCUGGGCGCAUUCGUCCCAUCGGCAGAGAAACCAUCCUUGACAACACAUGCGCCAGAAGACACUUCUGUUCCUCCUGAGUUCAGAUCACCUGGAGACCAUCCGGCCAAAGCACCGCAGCUGCGGUAAGAGGGGCAACACCACAGCUGCGCUUGGAGGGCCCUGUGUUUCCACCUGCAGUCUGAGCACCUGGGGUCCACUCGUGCAAGCACAGCGAGAGUUCCAGCGAGAGGGGCCAGGACAAGAACGUGGUGGGGAAUCAGUGCUCCCUUCCUGUGUCUGCUCAGUGCCCUCGGGGCCCGUGUGGCCAGGGCAGACCUGCUCCUGAUGGAGAAGCCUCCACCACUGAGAAGAAACAUGGGCCAGAAAAGGCUACUGUCCGUGCCUGCCAUCAGGUGUUGCAGCGCCACCCGGCCAGGGCGCCUGUGGUGCAGUCAGAGGGGCUGGAGCCACCGGUGUGGCUGGAGAAACUACGGUCCGUGAAUCCAGUCUGGCACCUGGGGUACAUGAGCGCAGAGGACAGGGCGUGCAGCGGGAGGCGACAGCACGCUAGCUGUGUUUGGACACACUUCUAGUUCCCCCAUCAUUCCGAGCGCCCUGGGAGGCUCACGGCCACAGCACAUGUGUUGCAGUCACAUGGGACGAUGUCACUUUCAGGAAGACACUUGGGGCCUGGCCUUCGGUCAGUGCACUGGGGCCUUCCCGGCCAGGAUGCCCCCUUUGACUUUGUAGGAGCCGACACCACGGAGAAAAUAGCUGGGUUUCCGGCACGUUUUCAGCUCCCUUCGCCCGGAUCACGGGUGCCUUCAGUGGGUCCAGCAAGGGGCAGCCUUGCCUUUGGGGUAGCAGACUUGUUACCUGUCCAGGAUUCUUUGCAUAUACGGGGUGGCGGCACCAACCCAUUGGUCAUCUUCUCCUGCAAGAACUAGGCUGUCAGCCACUAGGAAGCAAGAGCCUCCUCUACAAAUGGUGGGCAACCGCUGACCUUCCCACAUGGCUUUGCAAUGCUGGGGACAGUCUCAGGCACCCCUGGUUCUCUCAAUCAAACCUCCCCUGUGUUUUGUUUUCCUAGAGCAAGCUGCAGGCUCCACAGCUCCAGCCGUUUGUGUAUGCGUCCAAGAUUGUGGGCUCCGAUGAGGCUGGUCAGAGGUCAACACACUGGCUUGAAAAGGUCCCCUGCGGAGAGAAGGGAGAGAUCUGUAAACAUAACCGUGCAACACUCUGCUUUCAACUGUUGGCCUGGAAGACUCAAGCUCUAGGUCGGUUUUCCUCUAGUCUUAAAACUGGCAGGACAGCCACUGCUACCUACAGCUGCCCCUUUCCUCUUGCCCGUUGGCUUCAGUCAGUCUCUAUCUUUCUUUCCCAGCUAGGAUAUACAUAUACAUACGCGGUUCUGGUUAAUUGGGCCUCUGCCGAUGUGUUUGGCUUCUUCAACUCAAUGAGGGAGGAAGAACUGAUCUGUACAAGCGGCAACGUGUUGAGCCAAAUCAACGGUGCGAAGCCUCUGUGGCCCAGGAAAUAGGAUAUGGAGGCAGUCCCGCUAAGGGCAGCAGGAGCUGACU